GAGGAGUCAGUUGGUGGGUUUUGAGUAAAAUCCAAUCUCUAGAAUUGUACAAUACACCAACCACCCCAUUUGUGAACGAACUUCGUACGAACCGGAAUUUUCCGAUUUCAAGGACCAAUCGACAUCGGAUUGAGUCCAAAACUUGGUGAACAUCAUAAUAUUGUGGGAGGAGUCAUUUGGUGGGUUUUGAGCGAAAUCCAAUCUCUAGAACUACACAAUACACCAAC
rnacentral:lncRNA from 1 species